rnacentral:rRNA from 1 species
AGCGGCAGACGGGUGAGUAACGCGUGGGAACAUACCCUCCGGUUCGGAAUAACUCAGGGAAACUUGAGCUAAUACCGAAUACGGUCGAGAGGCGAAAGAUUUAUCGCCGGAGGAUUGGCCCGCGUUCGAUUAGCUAGUUGGUGAGGUAAUGGCUCACCAAGGCGACGAUCGAUAGCUGGUCUGAGAGGAUGAUCAGCCACAUUGGGACUGAGACACGGCCCAA